rnacentral:misc_RNA from 1 species
GAUGAAGAACGCAGCGAAAUGCGAUACGUAAUGUGAAUUGCAGAAUUCAGUGAAUCAUCGAGUCUUUGAACGCACAUUGCGCCCCCUGGUAUUCCGGGGGGCAUGCCUGUCCGAGCGUCAUUGCUGCCCUCAAGCACGGCUUGUGUGUUGGGCCUCCGUCCUCCUCCCGGGGGACGGGCCCGAAAGGCAGCGGCGGCACCGCGUCCGGUCCUCGAGCGUAUGGGGCUUCGUCACCCGCUCUUGUAGGCCCGGCCGGCGCUUGCCGACACAUCAAUCUUUUUUCCAGGUUGACCUCGGAUCAGGUAGGGAUACCCGCUGAACUUAAGCAUAUCAACAAGCGGAGGA